ensembl:lncRNA
AGGCUCCUUAUAGGGUCAGAGCGCUUAUAGGGUCAGGCCAAUUAAUGGGGUUUUUCCGCCCUAUAGUGGCUGCAGUCGGGGAUGUCCUUAUAGGGCCGGGCUGUUAAUAGGGUCAGGCUGCUUAUAGGGUCGGUCUCCCUAUAGGCUGAGGCUCCUUAUAGGGUCAGAGCGCUUAUAGGGUCAGCCCAUUAAUAGGGUUUUUCUGCCCUAUAGUGGCUGCAGUCGGAGAUGUCCUUAUAGGGUUGGCCUUCUUAUACCCUCAGUUUCCUUAUAGGGUCGGUCUCCCUAUGGGGUCAGGCUCCUUAUAGGGUCAGAGCGCUUAUAGGGUCAGGCCAAUUAAUGGGGUUUUUCCGCCCUAUAGUGGCUGCAGUCGGAGAUGUCCUUAUAGGGUCAGUCCUCCUAUAGGCUUAGUCUCCCUAUAGGGUCACUCUCCCUAUGGGGUCAGGCUCCUUAUAGGGUCAGAGUGCUUAUAGGGUCAGGCCAAUUAAUGGGGUUUUUCCGCCCUAUAGUGGCUGCAGUCGGAGAUGUCCUUAUAGGGCUGGGUUCCUUAUAGGGUCACAGUCCUUAUAGGGUCGGUCUCCUUAUAGGCUGAGGCUCCUUAUAGGGUCAGAGCUCUUAUAGGGUCAGGCCAAUUAAUGGGGUUUUUCCGCCCUAUAGUGGCUGCAGUCGGGGAUGUCCUUAUAGGGUCAGCCUUCUUAUACCCUCAGUUUCCUUAUAGGGUCGGUCUCCCUAUGGGGUCAGGCUCCUUAUAGGGUCAGAGCUCUUAUAGGGUCAGGCCAAUUAAUAGGGUUUUUCCGCCCUAUAGUGGCUGCAGUCGGGGAUGUCCUUAUAGGGCCGAACUCCUUAUAGGGUUGAGCUUCUUAUAGGGUUGGUCUCCCUAUAGGCUGAGGCUCCUUAUAG